CACUGGUGAGGAUUAUGUUGAACGGCGCAGGCGCCGGAUUUGUCAAUGACGAGAGGAUGGAAUCUGAAGAGCCAGUCUGUGUCAGAAGUGUGGUGGGCGCCAGAAGCAAUAAACCCUUACCACAGGCAGUAAAGUUCAAAACUAUAAGGCUUUCCACUCGUGAGGAUUAUGUUGAACGGCUCAGGCCCCGGAUUUGUCAAUGACAAGAGGAUGGAAUCUGAAGAGCCUAGGGCGGGCCAGAGGGGUGAAAGGGGAGAGGUUUGAUUUGAACAGCGCCGUGGGGCAUGGACACCGGCUGCAUAAACGCCGCCCCCGGACACCUUCAGAAGCUAAUUAGCAUAUGGAAUAAAAGUGUUUUUAAGAGAAAAUAGGCGAUGGACAACAAUAUGAAAGGGGUUCCCGUUCCAUCAGUCAGACACCGAAGAUCCCAAAAGGAUCUUAAAAUGGUGGAGGUCUCCACGGAUGAGGAAGAGUCGGAGGAGCAGGCGGAGGGAGAGCAACCCGGACCCUCCAAUAAUGUAGCGGCCCCUUCCCCACCUGAUGUGGGCGAAAUGUCGGAAAAAGAGGCAGAGCAGCCCGGACCCCCCCCCCCCCGAUAAUGUAGUGGCCCUUCCCCCAUGGGAUGGAUGAUGGAUCCUGUGAUGGACCAUGUGAUGAGCGCAGUGACAUCACCAAAGGUCCUUUUGCUCCCAGGUCAUCAAAGAAGAAAAAAGAAAAGAAGCCGGGCUGCGCGAACAAGUGGAUGAGUAAUAAAGAAAUGCAUCACACUCAUGACCCAGAUGCAGCGUGACCACCGUAAAAACAUGCAGGAAGUUGACAAGCUGCUAAUGAGGGUCAACAGUAAGGUUAAGCACCUGAACAAAAUGCACCUGGAAGAGAUGCAGGAAAUGGGGGAGCUACUUGGCAAACUUAAAAAGUUGCCAUAGAUGCCUUUUUUUAUUAUGUCAAUAAAUAGUUUUUGA